rnacentral:rRNA from 1 species
UACAGAGGUCUCAAGCGUUGUUCGGAUUCAUUGGGCGUAAAGGGUGCGUAGGCGGCGCGGUAAGUCGGGUGUGAAAUUUCGAGGCUUAACUUCGAAACUGCAUUCGAUACUGCCGUGCUUGAGGACUGGAGAGGAGACUGGAAUUUACGGUGUAGCGGUGAAAUGCGUAGAUAUCAGGAGGAACACCGAUUGCGAAGGCAGCUCGCUGGAACGUUACUGACGCUGAGACGCGAAAGCGUGGGGAGCAAACAGG